AGCGAACGCUGGCGGCAGGCCUAACACAUGCAAGUCGAACGGAUCCUUCGGGAUUAGUGGCGGACGGGUGAGUAACACGUGGGAACGUGCCCUUUGGUUCGGAACAACUCGGGGAAACUUGAGCUAAUACCGGAUGUGCCCUUCGGGGGAAAGAUUUAUCGCCAUUGGAGCGGCCCGCGUCUGAUUAGCUAGUUGGUGAGGUAACGGCCCACCAAGGCGACGAUCAGUAGCUGGUCUGAGAGGAUGAUCAGCCACACUGGGACUGAGACACGGCCCAGACUCCUACGGGAGGCAGCAGUGGGGAAUCUUGCGCAAUGGGCGAAAGCCUGACGCAGCCAUGCCGCGUGAAUGAUGAAGGUCUUAGGAUUGUAAAAUUCUUUCAGCGGGGACGAUAAUGACGGUACCCGCAGAAGAAGCUCCGGCUAACUUCGUG
rnacentral:rRNA from 1 species